rnacentral:lncRNA from 11 species
CAGAUCCCCUCCAGCCUAGCAGCACCCACCCAGCCAAUUGCAUGCAUGAAGACAAUGUCCUGUUCUGCAUCUGCUCCUUUCAGUCCCAGGUACCAGCCCAGAUCCAAUGGCAAAUGGAAGGAGAGACCCUCAGUGGCAAUAGCACCAAAGGAGCCCUGCAGAUCAUGUCUUGGGUCCAUACAAAUGAGAUUGUCAGCUCCUUGAAUUAUAGUGGAAGCUUGGAAAGGGGACAACCCCUCAUCUGUCUUGGAUCCAAUGCUUUUGGAACCUAUGCUGUGCACUUCUGGCUCAGCUCCCCAACAAAAGGUGCCUAUGUGACAAUCCUUGUUUCUGCCGUCUGUGGUUCUUUGAUUACAGCAAGCGUUUUCUUGCUUGGCCUCUGCUUAUCCAGGCUUCAGAAGAAGCAGAAGGAGGAGGAAGAGAAGCAAGAAAAGGAGAAAAAGUCUUCAUUCAACAUGAGAGUCCACCAGACCAUGGAUGAGAACAGUGCCAUCUACUGCAAUAUGCAGCUUGUGAGAGGUGAUGCCAGAUCCAAGUUUGAGAGGAAUCUUGGACACAAAAGUGUUUCCAACUAAGCCUCAAUCCACUUACCUAUUAUUGCCACUUCCAGGACACUUGCCUUCUUUCUCCGAACCCAGUAUGUGCCAUUGAUUAAAGAAGAGAUAGGGAUUUUUAUUGGUUAGAUGUACGUAAAUUGUGACAUUUCACAAUUGCAUACAUACAACAAAAUAUUAAUUUUACCUCAUAUAACACAUUCAGUUGAUUAAAAAAAGAGAUAUAAGUGAAUAUGUGACACUGCAGCCAUAAUAGGACUGCAAUCCUUAUCAUAAUAGCAUGAUGAAAAGUGAACUGUCUUGGGAGCUGAAUCCCAUCUAUAUGGUCAUGUGUCCAACAUUCAGGAUAUAAAAAGAAGAUGUGCAAUGACUGGAACUUUCUGAUAUUUCCACUUGAUUUUCUAGCUAUUGGUCAUUUGGAAAACACAUGCAAGCAAGCAGAAGCAAAGAAAAGUACAGAGCUUGGAAGGUCUAGAAGUUUAUAGUGGCCUCUGUGUUGGAACAUUAGCCUCUGAAGAUGCUCAUAGAAUGGCAAAAUUGGCCUCAUCCAAGUAUAUUUUUCAAUUGAGUGCCUUAUUUUGGAGUAUUCCUAGAUUUCCAAUGAGAUUUCUAAUGGACUAGAAAGGAAGGCUGGAAUAAAUCAAUAACAUUCCAUACUCAUACACCUAGAAUUGGAAAAAUGUGUUCACGUGUGAUAAAAUAGUUGUUUGGACAACCAUCCCCCCCUUUUGCCAAAAAAGUAUAACUUUCUGAGGUUGACAAAGCAAGAAAUACUCUGUAGAUUUUUUUUAAAAAAAACUUGCAUAGUGAUAGGUGUCUUAAGAUGUUUUUUGUUACAAAUUGAUUUAAUCCAUUACAAAAAAGUAGAGAUAGCAAGUGCUGUAAUUCAGAAACUAUUGACAACUCUCCAAGUGACAAUUUUGUAAAAUGGCUUUAUUUCUUUGAGAGGUCUAGGACUGUAAUUCUUCAACAAUGAAGUUAUCAAAGGACACAAUAAGCAAUUUUAGCCAUUUUCUUUGCAGUGCAGAAAAAAACUUCAAAAGCUUCAGUUUCUGAAGACUACUUACAUUUUGGGAGUUAUUCUGUACUUGACUAGUUUCCAACAAACCUCACAACCUCUGAGGAUGCCCGCCAUAGAUGUGGCCGAAACGUCAGGAGAGAAUGCUUCUGGAACAUGGCCAGGCAGCCCUGAAAACUCACAGCAACCCAUAUUACUGUUUGUCUAAAACAGUGCACUCCUCAGGUUCUCCUUAAUUACUUGUUUUCUAAACACAUGUUCUUUGUCAGAGUCUGUGCCAUUUUUGGACUUAAAGGAAGUCUUUAUGCUGUUUAUUACUUCCUUGUUCAUUUACCACAUUGGUAUCUUUUUUAGAUUUAUUGGCAUUUCCCCAAACUGCACUGUUUUUUCCUCAGUUUCUCUUAUUAUUUUAGAAUCACCCUGAGUGCUUUGACAUUCUUAACCUCUGCUUGCAAUUUGCUUUUAUCAAAUAUUUUCUGGUUUGAGAAGCUGUCUCUUCUAAAACAGAUCUGACUGACUAAUACAAAAUGAUAGCACUUUGGAACCACCAUAGGAUGUCACCAUCCUAUGAAAUGCUAGGAUUAUUUUUUCUUGUGAUGCUUAGAAUUCUUUGCAAGAUAGUUUUACCAUUCAAUUGGAAGUAGACUGGAGAAUUCCAAAUUCCUCCUCAAAGUACCUCUUAGGUUUCCAUCAAAAUGGUUAGGGCAGAUGUAAGGAGUAGAUGUUGCAAAUUUCCUAGCUGCAUGGAAAAUUUUAUGUUCAUUCUUACAUGAAAAGGAAGAUAUUUUAGUUUAGUUUAAGUUUAAUUUAGUUUAAUUUUAUGCUAGGUUUUAAUUACUGUUUUCAUACGUGGGGUUUUCCUGGGAUUUUAUGUUGGUAUUUGUCUGUUUUUAUGAAGCAUUGAAUAUUUGUUGUUGUAUGUUGGAAUCCGCCCUGAGUCCCUUUGGGGAGAUAAAGCAGAAUAAUGUUUUGUUGUUGUUGUUGUUGUUGUUGUUGUUGUGUUAUAUUUUGUUUGUUCUGUUCUAAAAAUAAAUAAGAACUUUCCAAAAUUCACCCAUUCUUCAGAACUUUGACCAAAAAAUAAUUAUGAGAUAGACACAUAUUAAAGUGGUCCUUCCAGGC